rnacentral:rRNA from 1 species
CCUACGGGGAGCAGCAGUGGGGGAUAUUGCACAAUGGAGGGAACUCUGAUGCAGCGACGCCGCGUGAGGGAAGAAGGUUUUCGGAUUGUAAACCUCUGUCUUCGGUGACGAAACGAGACGGUAGCAGAGGAGGAAGCUACGGCUAAAUACGGGCCAGAAGCCGCGGCAAUACGUGGGUGGGAAGCGUUGUCCGGAUUUACUGGGUGAAAGGGGAGCGUAGGCGGGAAAGCAAGUUGAAUGUUUAAGGUACGGGCUCACCCGGUACAAGCGUUCAAGACUGUGUUUCUUGAGUGGAGUAGAGGUGAGCGGAAGUCCGAGUGUAGCGGUGAAAUGCGUAAAUAUUAGGAGGAACACCAGUGGCGAAGGCGGCUUACUGGUCUUUAACUGACGCUGAGGUUCGAAAGCGUGGGUAGCAAACAGGAUUAGAUACCCUAGUAGUC